UUCAGCAUAUCCUGUAAUAUUUCAGAGACUAUGUCAAUGUUUACAAAUAUAAAGGGAAACAAUGAAAAGGAAAAGAAUACAACAUAUGGUUACCAUGUACAACAUUAGAUACAAGAAUAUCAUUACCAGACAUUCAUGGCACCCUCUCCUUUAACUACACAAACCUCCCACAAGCUCAAUUUCGUUAAAUCAUGAAGGGGUUCGCAACCUGGUGCUGUCCAAAUAUCAUUACCAUGCAGCCUCAUAUCAUGAAUUUUCACUGGUCCUGUAUGCCGCAAAAGCUCAAUGACCGUUUUUUCCUUUUGAUGAAAAGAAUCUACUAAAACCUCGGCCAUGUUUUUCCGGUGUAGGAGUGGAAGAAGCUGAUGAAGAGGCUGACUUUGUGGGCUUGUGAUUUGGAUGGUGUACAGGAGAUAUGGCUUGAAAGUUUGAGUCAUUAUCUGAUGGACUAUAUAAAGUGUUUGUAAAAUGCAAAGGGGACUCUGCACCCUGCCUUUGCAUAAAACCAAAACUAGCUCCGUCCAUCUCCACCUG
rnacentral:lncRNA from 1 species